rnacentral:rRNA from 1 species
CACAAGCGGUGGAGUAUGUGGUUUAAUUCGAUGCAACGCGAAGAACCUUACCUAGGUUUGACAUCCGGAAGACCUUCCCGAAAAGGAAGGGUGCCCUUCGGGGAAUUCCGAGACAGGUGCUGCAUGGCUGUCGUCAGCUCGUGCCGUGAGGUGUUGGGUUAAGUCCCGCAACGAGCGCAACCCUAUUGCCAGUUGCUACCAGGUAAUGCUGGGCACUCUGGUGAGACUGCCCCGGUUAACGGGGAGGAAGGUGGGGACGACGUCAAGUCAUCAUGGCCCUUACGCCUAGGGCUACACACGUACUACAAUGGCGCAUACAAAGGGCAGCGAUACCGCGAGGUGGAGCCAAUCCCAAAAAGUGCGUCCCAGUCCGGAUUGCAGUCUGCAACUCGACUGCAUGAAGUUGGAAUCGCUAGUAAUUCGAGAUCAGCAUGCUCGGGUGAAUGCGUUCCCGGGCCUU